rnacentral:rRNA from 1 species
GGGAAUAUUGGACAAUGGGCGCAAGCCUGAUCCAGCCAUGCCGCGUGAGUGAUGAAGGCCUUAGGGUUGUAAAGCUCUUUCACCCACGACGAUAAUGACGGUAGUGGGAGAAGACGCCCCGGCUAACUUCGUGCCAGCAGCCGCGGUAAUACGAAGGGGGCUAGCGUUGCUCGGAAUCACUGGGCGUAAAGGGCGCGUAGGCGGCCGAUCAAGUCAGGGGUGAAAGCCUGUGGCUCAACCACAGAAUUGCCUUUGAUACUGUUCGGCUCGAGACCGGAAGAGGUUGGUGGAACUGCGAGUGUAGAGGUGAAAUUCGUAGAUAUUCGGAAGAACACCAGUGGCGAAGGCGACUUACUGGACGAUUGUUGACGCUGAGGUGCGAAAGCGUGGGGAGCAAA